CAGAUGUCAGCCGGGCACAUUCAUUAUAUCUUUUAAAUUAUCGUUUUAUGCCUUCAAAUCAGAGUUGCUUUUCUCCACACUGAGAAAGAUUAACAUGGCAAAUCUGCUUCUCUGUGUUAUCAAACUGGUUUUGUUACUCAGGUGAAAGUUACCCAUCUGACAGCAAACAUUUGAGAGAAGUUUGUGAAAUGAGGAAGCUGCAGGUCACUUUAAAACAAGCACUUUAGACACUUGCUGAGCUGUUGUUUUUUGAGGAACUUUGACCAGCUUUUGAGACUCUGCUGUAAAGUAGCAUGUGAUUCAGUCUUUUUUUUAUAUGCAGAACGGAAGAACCAGGUGUGACCGCCAGUGUCACUGGAACAAGUUGGAUUCAACUAAGUGGACAGAUUUUUAAAGAUCAUUGCACGCUGGAUGAAAGGUGUUUUGCAUGCUGGUAAGAGAUGACUGUUUUGUUGAUGCUCUGUGAAUCUUAUUGAAGAAGACUCAGAUCAUAAGAAGUUCACUUCGCUCUUGAAUAAAUCAAAUGAGUUCUCUGGCAUCACAGCUCAGUCCAGAUGAGAUGAAGUUACUUGCUAAACUAGAAGAACAGAACAGGCUGCUAGAGAAAGACAGCAAGUCCCUUUCCUCUGUAAAUGGAGUCCUGCAAAGUCCCUCUUCUCUCAGAAACCUCUAUUUUGACGAGGACACAUGGGAUCAGGUGGUUAAAGAAUGGGAGGACUGGAGUAAAAAUAAAGUCGGACAGCUCAAGGAGCUGAUCAGAAGAGGGAUACCGGCUCACCUGAGAGCUCACCUGUGGCAGCUGCUGUGUGAUGCUCAGAAUGUGGCCGAUCGGCAGCGGUAUUCACAACUGCUAAAAACCUCCUCUCCCUCUGAGACACUGAUACGCAGAGACAUGACGCGCAUCCUUCCACAACACCAGCUGUUUCAGAGUCUGGACAGCACCAGCCAGGAGGCUCUUUUUAAUGUUCUGAAGGCUUACUCAGCCUUGGACAGAGAAAUUGGCUAUUGUCAGGGAAGUGUGUUUAUUGUAGGGAUGUUGAUCACACAGAUGUCUGAAGAAGAGGCCUUCUGUGUGUUUGUGAGGCUUAUGAAGGAUUUUCAGUUGAGGGAGCUCUAUAGAUCCACUAUGACUGAUCUUGGCUGUUGCAUUUAUCAGUUAGACUCUAUGAUUCAGGAGCAGCUUCCAGACCUUCAUUCCCACUUUCAGACUCAGGGUUUCCACACCUCUAUUUUCUCCUCAACCUGGUUUCUCCAUAUCCUCCUGUCUUCCCUGUCUGUCGCAGCUGCCCCGAGGAUUUUUGACAUAUUCAUGUGUGAGGGGCUGGAGAUUGUGUUUCGGGUUGGUCUGGCCAUGCUUUACCUAAAGCAAGCAGAACUUAUCAAGUUUGAUGUAGAAGGCAUGACGCAGUGCUUGCAGAACUCAAUAAAACAAUAUUUAGAUCCUGACAAUUUAAUUAAAGCAGCGUAUCAAAUAAAAUACAUCCCCAGAAGAAUGAAAGAGUUGAGAAAAUAUUAUGCAUCUAUUAAGGCAAAAGAGCUGGAGGAACAGGAGGAACUAAAUGGGCUAUACUCAGAAAACAAGCUUUUAAAGCAAAGACUUGAUAUGCUGGAAAACAGAUGUUCUGAAAAACUGGUUUCACAGCUCAAGACAGAACUGGAGACAACUCGGCUCAAUGCUACCAAGUCAUUCAACACUUUAAAAGAGAUGCAGGCUAAGAUCUUGCAGAAGGAAGAGAACAGUACAGGGCCGGACGAGGACUGUGUGGAAUAUCUGCAGAAGGAGCUGAUCAGCUGUAGACUGCGGGAAGCAGAAGCUCUGACAAGACUUAAAGAGCUCAAACUGCACGUUAAACACAUGGAUGAGAAAUGGCAAAAUCAGCAGGCGCAUGGUGGAGGUCAGCAGAAAGGUGGCAGUGUGCAGAAUAUACUGCAGGUGGAGCUGUUGAGCGCUCAACUGAAGGAAACUCACAGUAAAGCCGCACUCAUAGAGAGUCGUCACAGACUUCUGCAACUUCAGACUGAGAAUGAACUUACCAGUAACCAGCUAAAGCGUAUUGAAGCACACGUUAACAGCCAACGAGAGCAUCUGCAGGAGCUGACGUCACAAAACCAACAUCUACACAACCAAUUACAAUAAAGCAGACAGUUUUUAGCCACUGAAUAAAAGGUGUCGGAGAAGGAAGAGGCUGAACUAAUUCUUCAGCAGGAAACCAUGGCAAUCUUCGUCAUCAAAGAUGGACAAGCUAUACUCAAAGACAUUGCCUGCAUACUUGAGGGACAAUAAAGGCUGAUGUUUUCUAAGGCCGAAAAUGAGCUUCCCCUCUUUAAAAGAUCAGCAGCCGCCACUGGUUUCAACCUAACCUCAGAAGAUCAUCUGUGGCCUCAAGCAUCAGAACUUUCCGCAAUGAAAACAGGUAAGUCUUCAGAAUCCAUUAAGCUUUACGCUACUUGAAACUGUUACAGUGAAUUAGUGUGUACAGCAUGGUAGUGUGUACCAAAGAGUGUAAUGUGAUUUCUGUAAAUUUGUUGUCACUUUGACUUUCUCCCUGCAGAAUAGAGACUAGGCCAAAUAGGGGAGCCAGAAGCAAAAUUCUGACUGAUCAAUAAGAGCAGGAUGUGGUCAAUAUGGUUAGGGUCAGAAAUGAUAUUCCCCUUAGAGAAAUUCGGCAGCACAUCUUGGACAAAACGACAUAUUCAGAAAUGUGGAAGCCAUAAGUUUGCCGAUUAUUGCAAGACUGCUGAAAAGACAUCAGGUGUCUUUAAGACAACUAUACCAUGUGCCUUUUGAAAUAAAUACAGAUAAAAUGAAGCAACUGAGGAAUGAAUAUGUUCAGAGGGUGAUGAAGCUGGAUGCUGAUGAAAACCAUCACAAAUUCUUAUUUGUGGAUGAGGCAGGCUUUAACCUAGCCAAGACAAGGAGGAGAGGUCAGAAUUUCAUUGGCCAGCGGGCAACCAUCGAAGUACCUGGACAACGUGGAGCCAAUAUCACCAUGUGUGCAGCUAUCAGAAGAUGGAGUCGUUGAACGCAGACCGUGUGUUGGGUCAUAUAAUGCAGCCAUCCGCAUAGCCUUCCUUGAUGAGCUAAAUCAGGUCUGUAGAGCUGAUGGUGUGAC